UACGUAGGUGGCAAGCGUUGUCCGGAUUUAUUGGGUUUAAAGGGUGCGUAGGUGGCUUUGUAAGUCAGCGGUGAAACUCUGGAGCUUAACUCCAGACCGGCCAUUGAUACUGCAGAGCUUGAGUUCGAACGAGGUAGGCGGAAUUGACGGUGUAGCGGUGAAAUGCAUAGAUAUCGUCAAGAACCACCAAUAGCGAAGGCAGCUUAUAGAACGACACUGACCACUGAGGCACGAAAAGCGUGGGGU
rnacentral:rRNA from 1 species